rnacentral:rRNA from 1 species
UAAACCUGAGAAACCCAAAAGAUCGAAUGGGGAGAUUCAUCGUCAGCGACGUCUGCUUCUGUGUGGAUCGCGAUGGCCGGGACCUCGGUUCCGCGUCACGCGUCCGCUGCAGUAUGUCCGGCGUCGCCGGUGUGCACUUCUCCCCUAGUAGGACGUCGCGACCCGUUGGGUGCCGGCCUACGGCCGAUUGGUCGACUGUCGCGUCGCGUUCACGCGUGCACGUGACAGACCAUUGGUCGCCCGGCCGGCUGCCCGGCGGUAUAGAUCGCUAUAAACACUGGUAUUGGGCCGCAUUAAGUGCGUUCUGGCUCGUCGGCAGGCUCGUCUCGCUCGGAUUUACGGACCUAGCGCCGUUGCCGGGCGCUUGGCGUGGCCGUUAGUCGACGAUGUCCUCGGACUGGCUCUUACAUUCGA